AUUUGGAGUUUCAGCAUGAGAGCGCCCUCUGGCCUUCGGAUGGAGAUUUACUACUGAUCACAGAACUGUGUUUCACUGAAAGAUACUCAU